rnacentral:tRNA from 1 species
GGGCGGAUAGCUCAGUUGGUAGAGCACAGGACUGAAAAUCCUGGUGUCGGGGGUUCGAAUCCCCCUCCGCCCA